GCUACUGCCUUGCUGUCAGUGUGCAACCUCCUGUCCCACAGGCGGCCUGCCUGCCUGAGUUGCUGAGGAGCUUGGGCAGACAAAGCUUUUGUACCCAUCCUGCUAGAGGGAUCCUGUGGGCAGCUGGUCUGCCAUUGUGUGGAUGGAGUGCUGGACUAGAUGGACCUUUGGUUUGACCCAGCGAGGCUCAUGUCCUUACAGAAAGGAUUAAAAAUGGCUUCAGUACAGGGGAACCUCAGCUCACAAAUGCCUCAGUUCAUGACCAAAUCAAGUCACAAACAGAAAUUUCAGAAAAA